GCAAACUUGGUCAUUUAGAGGAAGUAAAAGUCGUAACAAGGUUUCCGUAGGUGAACCUGCGGAAGGAUCAUCAAAGGAGGAAGGGGGAGGGUAGGCGACGGCUCUAUCCUUUCCCAACCAAUCUUGUGUGAACUGUGUGUAGCAAGUAUGGUUGUGUGCGCGCGUGGUUGGUGUGGGGGGGGGCAAGGCUUCUUCUGGCCUGCUGCCGCGCCCCCACCGCCAGCCGCACACGCUAGCCAAUAUCUCUCCUGUAAUCAUCUUGUCUAAUCUCUUGACCACACAAUACCACAACUUUUAACAAUGGAUCUCUUGGCUCUCGCAUCGAUGAAGAACGCAGC
rnacentral:misc_RNA from 1 species